rnacentral:misc_RNA from 1 species
GAUGAAGAACGCAGCGAAAUGCGAUAAGUAGUGUGAAUUGCAGAAUUCAGUGAAUCAUCGAAUCUUUGAACGCACAUUGCGCCCCUCGGCAUUCCAUGGGGCAUGCCUGUUCGAGCGUCAUUUGUACCUUCAAGCUUUGCUUGGUGUUGGGUGUUUGUCUCGCCUUUGCGUGUAGACUCGCCUUAAAAUAAUUGGCAGCCGGCGUAUUGAUUUCGGAGCGCAGUACAUCUCGCGCUUUGCACUCAUAACGACAGCGUCCAAAAGUACAUUUUACACUCUUGACCUCGGAUCAGGUAGGGAUACCCGCUGAACUUAAGCAUAUCAAUAAGCGGAGGA